rnacentral:rRNA from 1 species
AGAGUUUGAUCCUGGCUCAGGAUGAACGCUGGCGGCGUGCUUAACACAUGCAAGUCGAGCGGGAAAUAUUUCAUUGAGACUUCGGUGGAUUUGAUCUAUUUCUAGUGGCGGACGGGUGAGUAACGCGUGGGUAACCUGCCUUAUACAGGGGGAUAACAGUCAGAAAUGGCUGCUAAUACCGCAUAAGCGCACAGAGCUGCAUGGCUCAGUGUGAAAAACUCCGGUGGUAUAAGAUGGACCCGCGUUGGAUUAGCUGGUUGGUGGGGUAACGGCCCACCAAGGCGACGAUCCAUAGCCGGCCUGAGAGGGUGAACGGCCACAUUGGGACUGAGACACGGCCCAGACUCCUACGGGAGGCAGCAGUGGGGAAUAUUGCACAAUGGGGGAAACCCUGAUGCAGCGACGCCGCGUGAAGGAAGAAGUAUCUCGGUAUGUAAACUUCUAUCAGCAGGGAAGAUAGUGACGGUACCUGACUAAGAAGCCCCGGCUAACUACGUGCCAGCAGCCGCGGUAAUACGUAGGGGGCAAGCGUUAUCCGGAUUUACUGGGUGUAAAGGGAGCGUAGACGGUGUGGCAAGUCUGAUGUGAAAGGCAUGGGCUCAACCUGUGGACUGCAUUGGAAACUGUCAUACUUGAGUGCCGGAGGGGUAAGCGGAAUUCCUAGUGUAGCGGUGAAAUGCGUAGAUAUUAGGAGGAACACCAGUGGCGAAGGCGGCUUACUGGACGGUAACUGACGUUGAGGCUCGAAAGCGUGGGGAGCAAACCAGGAUUAGAUACCCUGGUAGUCCACGCGGUAAACGAUGAAUGCUAGGGGCCGGGGAGCAAAGCUCUUCG